UACAGAGGUCUCGAGCGUUGUUCGGAUUCAUUGGGCGUAAAGGGUGCGUAGGUGGUCUGGUAAGUCGGAUGUGAAAUCCCGGAGCUUAACUUCGGAACUGCAUUCGUUACUGCCGGACUGGAGUACUGGAGAGGAGAUCGGAAUUUACGGUGUAGCAGUGAAAUGCGUAGAUAUCGUAAGGAAGACCAGUGGCGAAGGCGGAUCUCUGGACAGUUACUGACACUGAGGCACGAAGGCCAGGGGAGCAAACGGG
rnacentral:rRNA from 1 species